ensembl:snRNA U6 U6 spliceosomal RNA
GUGUUCGCUUCAGCAGCACACUUACUAAAAUCGGAACGAUACAGAGAAGAUUAGCAUGGCUACUGUGCAAGGAUGCCACGCAAAUUCGUGAAGCAUUUCAUAUUUUA